rnacentral:rRNA from 1 species
AUUGAACGCUGGCGGCAGGCUUAACACAUGCAAGUCGAGCGGAGAGAGGUAGCUUGCUACUGAUCUUAGCGGCGGACGGGUGAGUAAUGCUUAGGAAUCUGCCUAUUAGUGGGGGACAACAUUUCGAAAGGAAUGCUAAUACCGCAUACGUCCUACGGGAGAAAGCAGGGGAUCUUCGGACCUUGCGCUAAUAGAUGAGCCUAAGUCGGAUUAGCUAGUUGGUAGGGUAAAGGCCUACCAAGCCGACGAUCUGUAGCUGGUCUGAGAGGACGACCAGCCACACUGGGACUGAGACACGGCCCAGACUCCUACGGGAGGCAGCAGUGGGGAAUUUUGGACAAUGGGCGCAAGCCUGAUCCAGCCAUUCCGCGUGCAGGAUGAAGGCCUUCGGGUUGUAAACUGCUUUUGUACAGAACGAAAAGCUCUGGGUUAAUACCCUGGGGUCAUGACGGUACUGUAAGAAUAAGCACCGGCUAACUACGUGCCAGCAGCCGCGGUAA